rnacentral:rRNA from 1 species
GAUGAACGCUAGCGGGAGGCCUAACACAUGCAAGCCGAGCGGUAUUUGUUCUUCGGAACAGAGAGAGCGGCGCACGGGUGCGGAACACGUGUGCAACCUGCCUUUAUCUGGGGGAUAGCCUUUCGAAAGGAAGAUUAAUACCCCAUAAUAUAUUGAGUGGCAUCACUUGAUAUUGAAAACUCCGGUGGAUAGAGAUGGGCACGCGCAAGAUUAGAUAGUUGGUGAGGUAACGGCUCACCAAGUCAAUGAUCUUUAGGGGGCCUGAGAGGGUGAUCCCCCACACUGGUACUGAGACACGGGCCAGACUCCUACGGGAGGCAGCAGUGAGGAAUAUUGGACAAUGGGUUAGCGCCUGAUCCAGCCAUCCCGCGUGAAGGACGACGGCCCUAUGGGUUGUAAACUUCUUUUGUAUAGGGAUAAACCUACUCUCGUGAGAGUAGCUGAAGGUACUAUACGAAUAAGCACCGGCUAACUCCGUG